UACGAAUGGGGCUAGCGUUGUUCGGAAUCACUGGGCGUAAAGCGCACGCAGGCGGAUCGAUAAGUCUGGGGUGAAAGCCCGGGGCUCAACCUCGGAAUUGCCUUCGAUACUGUCGGUCUCGAGUCCGGGAGAGGUGAAUGGAAUUCCUAGUGUAGAGGUGAAAUUCGUAGAUAUUAGGAAGAACACCAGUGGCGAAGGCGGCUCACUGGCCCGGGACUGACGCUCAGGUGCGAAAGCGUGGGGAGCAAACAGG
rnacentral:rRNA from 1 species